rnacentral:lncRNA from 1 species
CGCCGCCCGACUCCGCCGGCGCUGCUACUACUGUUGCUGCCGCCGCCAUCACCACCACAUCGUCUUCCCAUCUCUCACUUCACUCUCUUUCUCUUCUCGACUGCUUUUCUCUUUGUUUUUUCGUUUUUCGGGUUCUUUUUUCUUUCUAGGAAAAAUAUAACAAAUUUUAAAAUUAGGAAAAUUUGGACGGGCAAGGAGGAAUGAGCAAGGAUUAGGAUUUGGAUAAAGAUAAGGGAGAUUGUAUGGUUGUGAUUAGUAUGAGGAUGAGGAUGAGAGGAAAGAGGAGGAGGAAGAAGAAGAAGAGAAAAAGAAAUAGUAUAAAAUUCACCUAAAAAGUACAAUUUUGGCGUAAAGAGUGUAACUCUCAUCCUAAAAAAUGAUAUUUCAGUCCCAAAAAGUGCAACUUUUAUUUAAAACAAUGCAAUUUUUUUUUAAACAGUAUAAUUUUUUUUUAACUGUAUAAUUUCAUCAUCUUCUUCCUUCUUAUAUGAUUUUUGGUCUUUUCUGUAGAAAAUACAUAA